rnacentral:rRNA from 1 species
CCUACGGGAGGCAGCAGUGGGGAAUAUUGCACAAUGGGGGAAACCCUGAUGCAGCGACGCCGCGUGGAGGAUGACGGCCUUCGGGUUGUAAACUCCUUUUGUCAGGGACAAUGGUGAUGGUACCUGACGAAUAAGCCACGGCUAACUCUGUGCCAGCAGGCGCGGUAAU